CCUACCGACCAAAAUUUCUAUCAUAUAAUAUUAGACCAAAUAGAUGUUUGUGAAUCGUGAUAUGGUAGGCAUUAUAUUGCACGAACAACGUGAGUAAACUCUUAGAUUCUCCCGUUUGUCCUAAACAUAGAAAACGCCAAAAACACACUUAAUUAAACUACUUAAACAUAGUACAUUUGUAUAUACACACUUGUUAUGUAUCUUAAAAUUCUAUCCUCAAGCAAACAAUUAUAUCAUCAUCUCAAACAAUAAACGUAAUAUUGUAUAAGCGAUUAAGCGAAAC